rnacentral:lncRNA from 1 species
AUGUCCUUGGAUCACACAGAUCAAAGAAGAAACCCUGCCUCACACUGUCUCAUCUCCACAGAAUCCCUCUUCCAACCUUCCUAUCUUUUCUAUUUCCCAUUGAUAGAGGGAAACUUGUAGACUCUUCUCAUCAACAAAAGAUAAAAAAUUUAUUUGUUGGCCGGGCGCUGUGGCUCACGCCUGUAAUCCCAGCACUUUGGGAGCCCGAGGUGGGCAGGUCACGAGGUCAGGAGAUCGAGACCAUCCUGGCUAACACGGUGAAAUCCCAUCUCUACUAAAAAUACAAAAAAAAUUAGCCGGGCGUGGUGGCGGGUGCCUGUAGUCCCAGCUACUCUGGAGGCUGAGGCAGGAGAAUGGCGUGAACCCGGGAGGCGGAGCUUGCAGUGAGCUGAGAUUGUGCCACUGCGCUCCAGCCUGGGCAACAGAGAGAGACUCCAUCUCAAAAAAAAAAAAAAAAAAAAAAAAAGUAUUUCUUCAUAUAAUUCCAGACAGCAAAGGAGUCUCCAUAUUCUAUUCCUUAUUCCAUUUCUCAAAGUAUAAAUGCUUAAUUUUUUAAGCACACACACACAAAUAAUUAUUGCUGUUUUUGUCUUCACUGAAAUAUUUGUCAAGCUAUAGUCCAAGAAGCUAUGAAGGUCACCAGAUAUCUUUCAGGGGGUCCAUAAAGUCUUAAUUUUCAUCCAGACCACCUUCAGCCCACUUCUACUGACCACAAGCUUUUGGAUCCUGCCCUGGGUCUCUGAGCACAGCAGAAUACAGGAGAAUCCCUUUCUUCUGGAGACAUGAUGCCUUAUCUUCCCUCCCAAAGGACCAUCUCUGCUUCAAUUCCACUGCCAGCCACAUCCUUGCUACCACCCUCUUACUACUUCCUAUUCCAGCCAAACUGUAUUAGUUUUUAAUUUAUUUCACUCAGUUAUUCUUAUUACAGUUUAAAUAUAGAAAAUACAAAAUAUGGAUAUUUAUUUUAUUUCUUAUUAUACAAGCAUAUCCAUGUUAUCUUUGAUAUUGCUACUUGGUCCACACAGGUGGAUAAGGUACCAUAUUUACCAUCUGACCCUUUAUAGAAAAAGUUAGCUGACCCCUCGUCUAAACUAUGAAGACAGAAACAUCUGUUUUUUUCCUUAUUGUAGUCCCACAACAGGUGUAAAUGUGUCCUAAAUGAAUAUCAUUAAGUGAAUAAAUGAUGGAAAAAUUGU